rnacentral:rRNA from 1 species
CAGUCGCCGCGGGAAAACGUAGGUGGCAAGCGUUGUCCGGAAUUAUUGGGCGUAAAGCGCGCGCAGGCGGAUAGGUCAGUCUGUCUUAAAAGUUCGGGGCUUAACCCCGUGAUGAGAUGGAAACUGCCAAUCUAGAGUAUCGGAGAGGAAAGUGGAAUUCCUAGUGUAGCGGUGAAAUGCGUAGAUAUUAGGAAGAACACCAGUGGCGAAGGCGACUUUCUGGACGAAUACUGACGCUGAGGCGCGAAAGCCAGGGGAGCGAACGGGAUUAGAGACCCCUGUAGUCCCUGUCUCUUAUACA